AGGACAUGUGCCGGCAUCCGGGUACGCAAGCAACCAAUACAACCACGACAUGGUGCAGUCGGCCUUCUCCGACGAGCUUCCACCCCUGCAUCAACAGCAGCACCGCGCUGGCUGUUGAAGCAUCGAGUUCAACAGCGGUGGCAAUGAACCCUUCUACAACAGAAAAUAUCAGGAAGCAGCAGCUCAGUAUACCGAAACUCUGAAAAAGAAUUUGAAUGAGUCUGCACUGCAGGGGAGGGGGAGGAGGCCGGCUACAGGGGGAAGGAGUAGGCCGGUGAGAAGGGCAAGUGGCAGGGGACAAGUAAUCUGCUCUAAUUAUCAGUUUCUUACAAUUUGUAAUAGCGAAACUCUUGCUUCCUUGCCCAUAAGAGAAAAUACACCAAUUUUUUUAUCACCUUAGCUUGUCGAUGGCAUACCACCCUGUACUGUGAGCCAGCAAUCGAUCUGUGAGCCCUCUUGCACUAUAUUAUGUAUCAGGGUUGUAACACUAUUAUAUUUGGGAGGACGCUCUAAGUGGAAAGUACGGAUAUGUUUCAGAGAGUACGGAUAUGUUUUAGAGUGUUGCAAAGUAAAAGUUGGUAUGGUGCCAGCCUAGGUGAUGUAGUCCAAAAGGAAUCUCUCGAGUUUAUGAGUUGAUAGUAUAUUUGAAUCUCUUGGGCUGUUGUAGAUUUUGUUCUUCCCCACUUCUAGAUCUUCCACAAGUAAAAGUUGGUAUGGUGCCAGCCUAGGUGAUGUAGUCCAAAAGGAAUCUCUCGGGUUUAUGAGUUGAUAUUAUAUUUGAAUCUCUUGGGCUGCUGUAGAUUUUGUUCUUCCCCACUUCUAGAUCUUCCACAAGUAAUCUUUUUAUUUUCUAAAAUAUGUAUGUUCGCUCAUUGGACUGCAACAGCCAGAGAUGCUACAGAUGGAGACUAAAUAGCGAGGAGAAGCAGAUGAGAAUAUUGAUUUGGAAAUUCGAAGUAUUAAACAAUUGGUCUGGCCUUUGGCCAUGGUAAGGUAACUUCUGUUUUAUAAGCCUGUUUUUUCUAACAUCCACCUUGGUCUCCUUCUCGAUCUUGCCUGCCUUGCUCUUGUGCUUCUCCUUGUCAGCUCAGGUCUUCGAUCCGCUUUCUUCUUCAACGAAGCUGACCAUGAUCUCCUACAUGUGUUGCCGUGCUCCCUGAAGCAUCCUUCUCUCUUCUAGAUCCAACUCUUUUCGUUCUGGUUUUAACUAUGCUUAUGAUUGCCUGUCUUGCCUAUAUUCAUUCGCCAUACGCAAGUCUACUGGUGCGUGCCAACGGAAAUUAUAUUUGCAUAAUCAGAUUAGAUUAUAUGAUUUCCUGACCUUGAUUCCCCCUCGAUUGGUUACUAAAAUAUAUGUACAAUUCUUCCAUUCUGUGCUUACAAUCGCAAAGUUAAUGCCUUCAAUUUACUUAAGCUAUAGAAAUCCGUUUGAUUUCCUCUAGACAUAGGUAUCAUUGUAUUCCUGAAUCCAUUUGAUUUCAUGUCUCUGCUGUUAUAUUUAUGAUCUUGUAAUCGCAUGUCAUCGGUUUGCUCAGGGGUUAUUGGAUUCUUGAUGGUCAUGCAUGCUAAAACUUUUUCGAUCAUCAUUCUUAAUAUACACUCCAUUUACAGCUUGUGCCUAACCUUUGGAUUUAUCUUUUUUCAAAGUGCUCCUCAUGGAGUUGGUUGAGCUAUCCAACAAGUUUCUGGCUGACGUAAUGUUUGAAAAGCUCUUGCUCCUAAACCAGUCUACUUCGUAAGUAGCUCGAGUAGGGUGGAUAUGCGUGUAGUUGAGUUUUACCCCACAAAGGAGCAUCUCCACAUUUCAGUAGAAUGAAUUGCGCUGUCAAGCCCCGUAUGUAAGGAUAGGGUGUCAUCGAUGAAUCGUGCGGCUGUUCGAGCCAUCAGGUUCAUGGAAUGCAGAGAG